GUGUACAUCUACUCCAUCAUAGUCCGAUAUGCCAAUACAUGACUAAUAUGUCCCAACAUAGCAAACAAGUAUGCUAUAAUGCAAUAAGCAAUACUUUCAAGUACACUACAUGUCCAAAUACCCAAUAAAUCCAACUACUAUGAACUGUCUAGUAGUGAUUAUUACUUAUAUGACUCCGUGUCGAUUUUCAUUUCCAAUUAAGGACCUACACAAGGUAGUCCGGCUUGUGCCGCCUAAGUGCCCGUAGUAGCUCCAGCAUUCCUACUCGAGGAAUGAGUCUAUCCCGCCAGGCCCCCGUAGGCUUCUCAAUACCGCACGAGGGAUCAUAAGUCGCGUAGGCUAACUCUAGAGUGCCAGCUCGUAGGGAGUGACCCUCACAAGUAUGUGCGAAUGAGCACAAAUGGCAAGCAAGCAUAGUUAUCGUCUCAAGAACCCGAUCAUCAUGUCUCUAACAUGGUAAUAGCCACUAGCAACCUAACGGUUUAGUUCUAUGUCUCAAUGUGAAGUUCCGAUAUUCACUAAGUCUAGUGCCUCUUUAUGACACUAGCACAUUGCUAUACCCAAGCUUAUUUCAAAUUCAAUGCCUCUUCGUGGCAUUAAUUACUAGGUUCACACAUAACCCAAGCUCAAUAUCGCUUUAUGAUAUUAGCUCACUAAUUCACAUAUCAUUCUAGUCUAAUGCCUCUUUAUAGCAUUUUACUUGCUCUUAUGUCCAACAUGAGAAUUAUAUCCAAUAGUACAUUACACUUAUCAUUUUUACUAUAUGAAACAUGAUCUUGAGUCAUAUCUAGAAUGCUAGUCACAUGCAUAAGCCAAACCUAAAAACCCUCUACUACAUAGGGGUCUAAAUAUACAUUGUAUAUAAUAUAUGCAUUCUAAGCAUUCUAAAAUUUACAAAUAAUGCAUCUAACACAAAUAUGCAUGAAAUUCCACUUUACGACGAGUAAAACCACCAUAGAGGAAAUUUUAUCGCAUUUGAUGAGGCCAAACCCACCUAGAGCUCCUCGGAACCCUUCGUUUCGCCGAACGAAGUUGCCCACAACUCUCCUAAUACCCUAAAGGUAGGAAAAGGAGAGUUACACGAACGUUACGAACAAUACAUAGGUCGAUCUUUAACCAAAUCACAAAACGGGGCAAAACUCACCUAAGGUGGUGAUAGUCUCUCUCGAUCUCCAAAUGGGAGCUAGAACCCUUCCAAUCCAACCUAGAGAAAGGUUCUAACCCAAAAAAUCAAGCUCCAAAAGCCCUAAGUCCAAAACCCCCAAAUAAACCCUAAGUUUUCAUUUCUAGGGUUUCAACUAAAAUAAACCAUCAAAGCUUGAAUCUAGAGGAAGAAACAAGUUGCUAACCUCUUAGAAGCUUCUUUCAAGGAUCAAAGUCCACGAGAUUUGAAGAUCUCUCUCCUAUCAAGCUCCAAGCUCGAAGUCCAAGCUUCUCCCAAGGUGGAAAUUGCACCAAGAAGAAAAAGAAUGGAUUAAUCCACCAAAAUCCAUGCAAAAUGGAAUAUAAAUCCAAAAAAGGGAAGAGAGGAGGUCCCCUACCUUGCUCUGUAGUGUUUCCAAGCUCAGGAAACCAACAAGGGGCGUGGGAUGCAAUAUAGAGUAGCAAUAAUAGCAAUAACACCCCUCAAAAGCUGUCAAUUUGCAGUUUGGCAAAGUGUACCGGCACACGAAAAAGUGUACCGGUACAACUCCUCCGAAUGCGCAAACCCGAGCCUCGGGUUGGCCAUUAACCACAUGUGUACCGGUACAACCAUCAAGGUGUAACCGGUAUACUUUCUGUACUGGUAUAACCAUCAAGGUGUACCGGUACACAAUCCUGCAGAAAGCAACCCGAGAGAAGCCUAAGUCUCCACUUUGGUGACCUUAGCGCUACUUUAAAUACCUCAAUUCUCAGAAUAUGAACCAUAGGUCGGAGCAUUAUCAACGACCCUUCAGAAUACCAAGAAAAACUCAGAACACAGAUCAAACAUUCGAACCUCGCAAUUUACUAAGGUCCAGUGUGUUACAUUCACCCCUCCUAAAAAGGAGUUUCGUCCGCGAAACUUAAAAACAUAAUACCUCAAGACUCCAUCUAAAAAUGAUGGGGGUAGCGCUCCUGCAGUGCGCUCUCCAGCUCCCACGCGGCCUCCCGCUCAUCGUGGUUGCUCCAAAGCACCUUCACAUACGGAAUGUCGCGGUUCCGUAGCUUUUCACCUCGCGAGCCAAAAUCCUCAUAGGUCGCUCCUCGAAGCUCAAAUCAUCCCUCAGCUCCAACGGUGUAGCAUUCAAUACAUGAGCCGAAUUAUGGAUGUACUUCCGAAGGACCAAUACAUGAAAAACAUUAUGUAUGCCCGAUAGGUUUGGCGGUAAAGUAAGCCGAUACGCUACCGGACCUACACGCUUCAAAAUCUCAUACAGUCCAAUGAAUCGGAGGCUCAGCUUACCCGGGAUCCGAAAUCUCCUGAUCCCUCUGGUCGGCGAGACUUUCAAGAACACAUAAUCUCCAAUCUGAAACUCCAAGUCCCUUCGACGCUUGUCAGCAUAACUCUUUUGCCUACUCUGGGCUGUCAACAGUCGCUCCCGAGCAAUAUGAACCUUGUCCUCUACUUCCUGGAGCACAUCGGGGCCUAAAGCCAAUCUCUCCCCAACUUCACUCCAAUGAAGUGGCGAUCUACACUUUCGUCCAUAAAGUGUCUCGAAGGGUGCCAUCUUGAUGCUUGCUUGAUAACUAUUGUUAUAAGCAAACUCUGCCAUCGGUAGAUGCUGCGACCAUCCUCCCUGAAAGUCUAUCACACAGGCUCGAAGUAUAUCCUCAAGAGUUUGUAUAGUGCGCUCUAAUUGCCCGUCACUCUGAGGGUGGAAAGCUGUACUGAAAUACAAGCGCGUGUCCAAGGCAUCUUGUAAGCUUCUCUAAAAAUGAGAUACAUAACGGGGAUCUCGAUCCGAAACUAUAGAAGUAGGUACCCCGUGUAAUCGCACAAUCUCAUCAAGAUAUACCUAUGCGAAUCUCUCACCAGUCCAAGUAGUGUGAAUAGGUAUGAAAUGAGCCGAUUUCGUCAACCUAUCCACGAUCACCCAAAUAGCAUCAUGCCUGGCCUGUGAGGGAGGCAAUCCCAUCAUGAAGUCCAUGGUGAUCUUCUCCCACUUCCACACUGGAAUUGAUAAGCUCUGCAAUUUUCUCGCGGGAACUCGGUGCUCAGCUUUUACCUGUUGGCAAGUUAAACAUCUAGCAACAAACUCGCCAACAUCCUUUUUCAUCCCGGGCCACCAAUAAAGCAACUUUAAGUCCUUAUACAUCUUGGUGCCUCCCGGAUGUAUAACAUAGGGUACACGGUGUGCUUCUUGCAGAAUAUCCUCUCUAAGUGUCGAUUCCACCAGUACACAAAUCCGCACGCGGAAACACAUCAAUCCAAGAUCAUCCACGAUAAAAUCACCGGGGCAACCUUCAACGAUUUUAGCUUUAAUCUUUUGCAAUUUCACAUAGUGAAGUUGCUUUUUUUAAUCCUUUCCAAAUGUGUAGGUUGCACUACCAAAGUCAUCAACCUCAAAGGCGUGUCAGGAGUUACCACCUCCAACUCCAACCGCUUCAUCUGCUCGAUCAAUGGCGGUUGAGUAACCAUAAACAUCACUAAGUUUUUCGUCGAUUUCUGACUUAGCGUAUCAACCACCAUGUUAGCCUUGCCCGGGUGGUAAAGAAUCGUCAGAUUAUAAUCCUUGAGUAGCUCCAACAAUCUGCGCUGCCUCAAGUUCAACUCCUUCUGAGUAAAUAAGUACUUUAAGCUCUUGUGAUUCGUAUAUACUUCACAUCCCUCGCCAUAAAGAUAAUGGCGCCAUAGAUUCAAUGCAAAGACUACGUGUAAUAUACGAAAAAUUUCGGGUUGUGAUGCUAACUUUCAUCUGGAAGAUCAAAGUGAAGUUUGAAUUGGAUGUGUAUCAUUCUUGAGUGAUUUUGGACGUGUGGGAAUGAUUUCUGGAGGUAAUUGAGUAUUCGGGCACAAAUCGGGCGCGAAAUAAACUUGAAAGGGGAUUUUCGGAUUAUGACGCUAACUUUGGCCUAUGCGAUCAAAGAGAGGUAUGAAUGUUAAUUGUAGUACCUCCGAAUUAUUUUGGAAGUGCGAGGAUAGUUAAGGGCAGAUUUCAGAGAUGCUUGGAUGUAAAAUGUCGGAUUUUUAUUACAUUGCUAAUUUUGAUCAAAUUGAUCAAAGUAAGGCCAAAAUAAAAUUAGUUGCUUCCGAGCUUAAUUAGUAGCUUCGGCGUAGUGUUUUGUGUAUUUUGGAGGUGUUGGAGUGGACUUGGAGUGAAUUGGAUGCGCGGAGUAGGCUUCAAAUUGCUGCUGCCAGGUUAUUGUGUAGUGCAAGGACUGAAUUGCGAACCUGCAGGGACUGAAUUGUAAAUCUGCAGGUUGCAAUGCACUUUUGCAAUUUUCAGGGGCAAAACUGCAAUUUUUGGUCUUAUCCCUUUAACGCUGACGUUUAUCAUUUGUCUAGGGACCUAGCCUCCACUCCCCAGCCCUCUUUAACUUCUAAUUCUCCGUCACGUUCUCUCUCUAAAAUUUGGGUGAGGAUGGUGUAGUAGUGGCAGCUUGUGGGCUGAUGUUGUGAGGCCUAUCCGAGCAUAGGGACCAGCUGAGAAAGAGCUGGAGCUCAAGGUAAAUGAUAACUAGCUCAGUCCAAAUGAAGGUUAUGGCCUAAAAGAAGCUUUUGAAUAGUUAAAAUGAUAGGUGUAUGCAUAGAAAUUUCAGAAUAAGCUGAAAUAAGGAGAGGAAGCAUGCAACUGUUAGUGUUGGAGCGUUUGUUGAUCCGAACUGAAAGGAUGGCAGCAGGUGCAGAAAUUCUUGUGGCUAGAGUAUAUAAUUAAGGUAAGCUUGGGUUCAUGUUUGAUUAGAAGCCAGCUAGUUGCCUUAAGGAUAAUUUACCUAAGUGUUUCCUGCUGCGAGUGAUGGCAGAUUUGGACUCCGAACUAAUUGGAGCUGUCGAGUUGGAGAUUUAGCUGAAAGAAAUAAUUUGGAGCUGAGAAAUCUCUUGAGGAAGCUUCAAGUCCAGGUAAUUUUGAUACUUGAUUCCUGAUUUAAAUAUGGGUAACUGCUUCAAAGAGGAUUUUAAGUAAUUAAAGCUUAAGAGAGGAGUAGUUGGCAGAUUUUGAGAGAUGUGGGUUAUGAAGUGUAUUCAAGUAAGUAAACCUAGCUGGGGAAGUAAGUGAUUGCUUCUCAUCUAGGAUAAUUGCAAUUAUUUAAAGGAAACCCUUAAAUGGUGCAAUUGGGAUGUAUGCAGAUAUUCAAGUAGAAGGGUUGAGGAAGUUGCGUUGGUGAAUCUGGCGCCCACCUUGAAGAGGAUUGGUGGAACACUUGGGUAAUCCGAGCUGAGAAGAAAAUCUGGAGUAAUUCCAGCAGAGGAAAUCUAAAAAUUAGAGUAAGUAUUUUGCUUCUCUGUUAAACUUAGUAUAGUUACUCAGGAAAAAUGUUCUAACUGAGUUAAAUGAACAUAGGAUUACCAAGAAUUAAAGAGAAAUUGGGAAAGUAUUUCUUGAUAUUCUAAGUUGAGAGGAAACUCAGCUAAGUGUAGCUUGGAGAAUCUUUGAGGUCAGGUAGAAAUGAGGUUUAAUUCUAUUUUGAGUUAUAAUUGAUUAUUAGAGCAUUGAGACAAGGUAAAUUUGAAUCAAUUUUAAUUAAAGCUAACUGGAUUGAUGUAAAUUAUGAUGUAAAGAAAUGCUUGAUGUAGGAAAGUAGGAACAGAGGUAUUAAAGUACUAAAUCAUUUAGAUACUAUGAACCUUGAGAAACUAGUUCUAAAUAAAGAGAUGUAUAUAUAUAUAUAUAUAUAUAUAUGAUUAGUUGUUGGAAGACAAAAGCUAAGCUGAACCAUGCUAAACUCUUCUUCAAGUUGAUGUUAUUGUUCCCUGAUUCCUGAGUACUAAAGUUUAGAAUUGAUAAGAAGUUUAAUAAUGAAACUAUAUAUAUAUAUAUAUAUAUAUAUAUAUAUAUAUAUAUAUGAGGGCAGUAUAUACAUAUAUACGAGUAAGGGUUGAAAAGCAAGUUUUAUUAAAGUAUGAAUAUGACUCUAGUCUAACCUCUUUUAUUCUUCUAGAAAUGAAGGUUAGACAUGCUCGGAAGUCCAAAUUGACAUUCAGACAGAUUUGUGUAGCACUAAUUACGGUAGAAGCCGUUCUAGCCCUACUUGCGCCGAGUCGCAGGAGCUUGUUAUUGAUAUAGUUCGAGACGUUGGUUUCCGUUUAUUGGCAUCCCUACAGGUGGGUGGUGCUAUCCGAAAUCUUCGAAUCCCUCUUUAUGUCUAUGUCAUCUCAUUGAGCAUAUCUAUAUAUGUGAAUUGUAUCAUAUUCAUGCAUUAUAGGGAAAUCGUCAUUAUGCAAUUGAAUUUCUAUCAAGGUAAAGAACAUGUGGACAAUAGAAUAUGGACAUAGAACCCUAUGAAUGUGUGAAUGAGUAAAGGACUAUGACAAUAGUAAACUUGGUGACAUUAUGACUAGAGAUUUAGUUAUCAUCGACAUUUGAAUUAUAAAACUAGCAUAAAGAGCUAGUUAGAGUUAAAGUGUAGUAUUGUCUUUCAUUGGAUCUUCUAAAGGAAGAUCAGAUCAUACUCACAUCAGUUUUAUAUUCAAGAAAGGUCGAUCCUCCUUGAACGAUGAGCUCCAGAGUAGUCAUCUUAACUGGACCAGGAGCUAGCGUCUCCCCCAGUUGACAGUCCCGUCGGGAUGUAGCUUACCUCUCCUCGAUACUUGGGAUAUCGUCGGUGAGUUAUUGUUAACCAAAGGGUUAACCAGUUUGAUUGGGUAACAUCAUUAGAAGCAUGCAUGCAUAUUUAUCAGUUAUCAUAUAUUGUUUCUUUCAGCUUUGUACAGGCAUUGUAGUAGUUACAUGUUAUAGUUGGUUACUAUCUGUUUACUUUUCUUGCCUACAUAUGCCUGAAUAGACUUAGUGGGUGAGUCGGCGAGGUCGGCGGCCGAACCCACUGGAAACUUUUAGUAGUUCUCACACCACUAACCAUACAGGUUCUAGCUCAUGCGGGAUGAUCGAGGAUCGUGGUAUGGACAGCGUUCCAUAGAUAGUCGACAUCCAUUGAGUAUAGUUGUACCUUAUUUAUUUCAUUUAUUUAUAGUUGAUGAAAACAAAUGUAAAUUAUUCAUUGAGAGAUGGCAAUGUAUAUAUUGGAAAAAUGAAUGUAAUAAUUAUGUAAGCUUUGUGUUUGAUUUAAGGGAAUCAAGAUAUAAUGUAUGAAUGCUUUAGUUAUUUACUUUCACUUGCUUGUGUUGCUUGCCCUCGUGCAAGCCAUGUAUAUUGAAAUUUUUUCUGGGCAUUUCUUUAUACAUGUUUGUUGUUGUUGUUGACCCUUGGGCGAACAGAGGAGGUUCUGUUAGUUCGGCGUCUGUAUACGGGCCCAAAUCGACCAAAUUGGCGAUUGCGAGACGUGACACUACGGCCGCCAAUUCCAAAUCAUGUGUAGGAUAAUUCCUCUCUUAAUCCCUUAAUUAGCGAGAAGCAUACGCGAUCACUUUUCUGUCCAGCAUCAAAACACAGCCCAAUCCAUUAAAUGAAGCAUCGCUAUAAAUCACAUACCCUGCUCCAGCAAUUGGCAAGGUUAGGAUCGGGGCGGUCGUCAAUCUCUGCUUUAACUCUUGAAAGCUUCUUUCACACGCAUUGUUUCAAAUGAACUUGGUACCUUUAUGCGUGAGCCUCAUGAGGGGAGUAGGUAACUUUGCAAACCCCUCAACAAAUCGUUGGUAGUAGCCGGCCAAACCAAUAAAACUCCGUAUCUCGGUAACACUCGUCGGCUUCGGCCAAUCCUUGAUUGCCUCGAUCUUCCUAGGAUCCACGGCUAUGCCUGAUCCUGAAACCAAAUGGCCCAAAAAUGCCACCUCUCUAAGCCAAAACUUAUAUUUUUUCAACUUGGCAAAGAGCUUCUUUUCCCCAAGCACUUGAAGUACUAGUCUCAUGUGUUUCUCGUGAUCCGCAUCACUUCGGUAAUAGACCAAUAUGUCGUCGAUGAACACCACAACGAAUCUGUCUAGGUAAGGCUUAAAAACACGGUUCAUUAGAUCCAUAAAAGCUGCCGGGGCAUCAAUAAGCCCAAACGGCAUAACAGUAAACUCGUAAUGUCCAUACCGUGUUCUAAAAGCCAUCUUCGACACAUCCUCAGGCUUGAUUUUUAACUGGUGGUAUCCCGACUGAAAAUCGAUCUUGGAGUACACACUAGAUUCCUGGAGCUGAUAAAAAAGAUCAUCGAUCCUCGGCAACGGAUACUUGUUCUUAAUCGUGACUUUAUUAAGUUUACGAUAAUCCACGCACAAGCGAAGUGAUCAGUCAUUUUUCUUAACAAAUAGAACCGGUGCUCUCCAAGGUGAAACUGUAAGGAAGUGAAUUCUCAAAAUCCGAGGAUUAGACUUUGUUUAGAAUCGACCAAUUGUCAAGUGUGUAGGCUUCAGAGAGUCCGAAGAUGAUUAAAAUGCAUAAAGUGCAUUAAGGAAGAGUCCGCGAGAGCAUCAGUGCAAAAUCUGCACUAGAGAAGAAUUUGCUCUCGGGGACCGGUCCCUGGCAGGGAGGGAUCGGUCCCAUCGGCUGGUGUGGCGGGGAUCCUUGAUGCAACCGGUCCCUUGCAAGGAGGGACCGGUCCCCAAACGUUAACCCAGCGAGAAAAGCCAAAAUUUGGCUAAGUUUCGAAAAUCCAACUCUCGGGAAUCGGUCUCUGUCAUACCACGGGACUCAGCGGAAGCCCGCCCGGCACGUGCACAGACCCGCCAUACGUCUAAAAUAUAUAAGGCGUCUAAAACAAAACGAUAAAUGAGACAAUAAAAGAAAGCAUCUAGAAGUAUCAGAGUAAUACACAUCAUCUAGUGACUAAAGCAAUGGAAAGAGUAGAGAGCUAAAAUAAAUAAAUAACCCAUAAAGUAGUACAACCAAAGAUCCAAAAGGUACAAUAUAUCACCAGUAAUCCAAUCCUAUGGAAGCUACCCGUAGGUAGUCCGACCUGCGUCGUGCCAACAAUGGCCCCGUGGUAGUCAACAUCCCCACUCUAGGAAUGAGCCUCCCCCACGGCAUCCUAUUUUGGCGCCCAAUCCCGCACGGACGAGCAUAUGUCGCGAUGGCUAUCUCCGGAGUGCCGACUUGUAAGGAGCGACCCUCAUAAGUAUGUGCGAAUGAGCACAAUUGCAUGCAAGCAAAUAAGUCCGUCCAAAGUCCCAGUGGUUCAUCACUGUUUCAUUGAAUUAAAAAUCCGGAAUACAGCACAUGUCCCAAAGGCCUGCCUCUAUGUCAUCGUGUCUAAAACACGAAAUAUAGUAACUGUCUCAAUGGCCUAUCUCUAUGUCGUCAUGUCUAAAACAUGGAAUAUAGUAGAUGCCUAUCAUCAUGUCUAUAAGUUGUAGUUCAACAAUUUUCUAGUUCAAAUGCCCCUUUAUGACACUUUUGCUUACUAUGUCCCAAUAUGAAUAAUAAGUCUAAAAGCUUGUCAUUCUAAUCAUUUUCCACACAAGAAAUAUGAUCUUACAUCAUUCAUUAGAACAUUAAACUCAUGCAUGCUCACAAUGCAUAUGCUUCUCUCUACAACAUAGAGUCAAUUUUUCAUGAUGCAUAACAUAGGGGUUUUAAGCGUUCUAAAAUUCAUAUAAAUUCUAUUAAACAUGGAUAUACAUGCAUUUAUAUUAUACGAAAAUAUUUAACCACGUAGGAGGCAUUUCCCCCUAUUUCAAUGAAGCCAAACCCACCAAAGUCUUCGCGGCGCGUCGUAACCUCCGAUGAAGUUGCCCACUACUCUCCUAGCACCCUCAAGGUAUAGAAAUGAGAGUUAAACGGACCCUACGAACAAAGCUAAGCUCAAACAUUAAGCUAUCCAAGCUAAGGUGGAGAAAUCUCACCGUACACGAAGGAAUCUCUCUCGAUCUCCAAAAGGGAGCUAAAGUCCUUCAAAUCCAACCUAAAUCAAAGUUCUAAACCAAUCAAUUUGGUUCUAGAAGCUACAAAUCCAAAAUCCCUAUUUCUAACCCUAAAAUUCAAAAUCUAGGGUUUCAUCAUGUGAAAUCUACUAAAACAUGAUCUAAAGGAGAGAUCAAGCAUACUCACCUCUCUUGAUGUCCCAAACCUAGCUAGGAAGGUGCUAGGGUUGAAGUUCUCCCUCCAAACAAGCUCCAACAAAAACCUCCAAGCUUCUCCAAUGGAGGAAAUCCAACAUGAGGCAAGGAGAAGGAGAAAAGAGAGAUCAAAACCAUAAAAACCAAGCCAAAAUGGGGUAAAAUCCAAAGAAGAGGCCCUCACCUGGUUCCUCCACGAAUUAGAGCUCAAAAGGGCUCUCUAAGGGGGUUGGGGUCACCUAUAUAGGUAUUGUAACAAUUGCAAAAACACCCCUGCCCGAAAAUUGCUCGCACUACACUGUGUACCGGUACACGGGCUCGCGUACCGGUACAACACCUGUGAAACAACCAAACCCGAGCCUCGGGUUUGCACGAAAUCCGUCUGUGUACCGGUACACCAGCCUUGUACCGGUACAGCCAUCAGCGCGUACCGGUACACAGCCCUGCUGAGGCUACUCGAGAGCUGACCAAAAAUCCGACUUUUCGGGUUUUGGUGCUAAGUUUUAAACCUCCAAUCUCGGGGUUCGAACCAUGGGUCGGAACACUAUCCACGACCCUCCACGAAGUGUGGAAAAGUUCGGAACACAAAUCAAACACUCGAACCUCACUAUUUGCGACGGUUCAGUGUGUUACAGUCUCUCAGGCAAGGACCGGUCUCCCUGGGACCUGCCUCUCAGGCUGAGACCGGUUCCCGAACGCAAAAUUCCCUCUGCCUGAAUGGGAGGCUCUCCGGGACCGGUCUCCCCGACCUAGGACCGGUCCCUCACUGCGGGAAAUGCCCAGGCAGAGCUGUUUUAUAGAUAGAAAGUUGAGGGGCUUAUUUGCAAAAUAGCCUAUAUGAGAGGCUAGGGGACCACUCCUCACCCUCACUCUCUCAUUUCCCUCUCCCACACUCUCACCCUUUUCUCCCUCUCUCUCUCUAGAAAGAAAAGAAUGAGAGGAAGAAGAAGAAGGAGAAGAAGAGAAAGAGGAAGGAGAAGACUAAGAAGAAGAAGAAAAGGAUCAUCUUCUUCUCUCUCUCUCUCUCCCUCAAGCUUGGAGCUUGGUUUUGAGGUAAGCCCUCAACCCUACCAUGGUAGAUUUCUUGAGUUAGGGUUUUAUAGGUUGGAAAUGGUUCGAAUGGAACCUAUUGAAGGUAAGGAGAUGGUUCGAGCUCGAAUUUGAAGCUUUAACCACCGAUUCCUCCAUUGUUGCCAACCUAGGGCACGGAUUUGGAAUUUUUAGAAAUCUAGGGUUUUGAUCUCGUUUAAUGGGUCGUUAACCUAAUUGCUACGUCUUCGAACACGUAGGCAAAGACGGUUCGUCGAUACGACGAGCGAGUGUGAAGAUAUCGCCGAAAUGAUUACUUGAGGGUUCGUGUCGACCCGAGGAGUUGAAGCGACGUACGAGGAACGCGGCGUCGAGUUUACUAGCUACACGGCACUACCAAAAGGUGGGGUGUGCCAUCCCGAAGCAGUUGAACUGCUCCCUAUGUCUAAGUCAUCAUGUUCAUCAAGUGCAUAUUGUAUUAUUGCAUUAUAAGGUGCUGAAUGUAAUUGUUACAUUUUAUUGCAUGCUAGAGUUAGCUUAGCUUUGUGGAUAUAGCGUUGAACCUAGUAUGCAUGAGUUGAACAAGAGAUAGUUAACCCUAUAUGUGAUGAACGUGUUAUGUGAAUGAGAACCUAGUAUGGAUUGAAUAGUAUAUGAGAACAUUGAACCUUGACGAGUGGCAUCUAGUUAAUGUUAACCUGUAAUGAGUGGCAUCUAGUUAAUGUUAACCUAUAGUGAAUAGCUAUGAGAACCUUAGUGUGGUUGGUAACACUAGAGUGAUGAGUAUGAUAUUUGCUCGUAUACAUGAUGAUACUAUCCUUAGUUGAUAGGGUGUUCCCAGUUUAUGAGGAUUUGGAUCGAGCUCACAUAGCCUGUCUGCGCUUGUGGUGGUAGCUCCACGCAGGUAUUGCACUCCGGAGGUUGUCACACGAGGGGGGCCAGUGUAGUUGCCCUUGGACCAUUGUAGCUGUCCGCAGGCAGUCUCGGGGGUAAACGAGUAGUUAGCCUCCUCCCCUAUGAGACUUACACACGUGAGACUAUGAGCAAGCCUUGAGUUCGCCGAGAGAUUGGGUAACCGGACGAGUCACAUUAUUGUUGUGCAUAGUAUUUGGUUACUUAGCCUUGCCUUAUGACACAUGCAUGCAUCAUUUCAGAUUGAGGCAUAGUGAGAUGUUCAUUUCAUAUACCUGCCUGUUUAUUAUAGAUGCUUUCAAUUCAGCAAAAUAUCUAUCUAUCUGUAUAUCUAUAUGUGCCUGCUUAGACCUAGUGGGGAGAUCGGCGGAGUCGGCGGCCGAACCAACUGGGAACUAUGGAAGAUAGUUCUCACCCCGCUCUUCACAGGUUCGAGUUCGAGUACCCCCGGCGAAGAUCGCGGCAAGGGCGUAGCGCCCUAGUGGUAUUAGUAGAGGUUUACUUUCCUUUAUACAUUAGCUACUCCCUGUACUUAUGUUGAGAGUAGAUGUUGUAUAGGGUGAGGUUUUGAGAGGAUUGUAUUUGUAUAUUAUCAUAUUUUGGGAAAAGACUGUAAGGGUUGUAAUUAAAUGUAUUAAGUUGAAUGAAUGUAAUAAAAUAGUUAAGUAUCUCUCUUUUAAUCACUUAUAUAGUUGUAUUACUCGUGAUACUUGCUCUCGUAUUGUCUAGCACUGUUUGUGCUUUCGUUGUUGUUGUAUGAUUGUGUAUGUAUUCAAGUUGUUUUCCUAUGAACUUGUUGUACACAAUCUCGUCAUUUGAGUCUUGGGCUGACAGAGGAGGUGCUGUCCAUUCGGCGUUCGUUUGCCGCGCCCGAACCGAACCAAAUUGGUAUCGGCCUCGGGGCAGGGGCGUGACAGAAACACUCAGCCGCACAAAAUCGUUGUCCAAAAGAUCUUGCAACUGUGCCCUCAGUUUUUUCAACUCAGCUGGUGCCAUCCUAUAGGGCGCUUUUGAGAUUGGAGUAGUCCCGGGGACGAGAUCUACCACAAACUCAAUCUCCCUAUCAGGUGGCAUUCCUAGAAACUCUGCUGGAAACACAUCUCCAAACUCCCGCACUACGGAAUGUCCUCAAUCCUAGGGGCGUCGGCGUCACCCCUCAACACCAUAGUAGCCAAGUAGGCUAUACAACCUCUGCUAAUCAACUGCCUAACUCGAGAGGAGCUAAUCAUCAUCGCAAACAGCGAACUCUGGCACCCACGGUAUACAACCUCCUACUGCCCCGGCUCUCUAAAAGUGUAACAUACCGAACUUCUAAAAUCAUGAAGUCACGGUGUACAUUUAAAUGGUUCCGGUGAAGUUGUCGUGGAAUGUAACAUACUGAAUUUUAAAUGUAAAAGUAUAAAUAAAUAAAAAUAAUAUGAGAUACUAUUUUAUUCGAUUUAGAGAAGUGAAAUAUAGGUUGGGAAUGACCUGUGCUGAAAUCGGAGUAAAAAUAGAAAAUUUAGAAUUUUCUGUGUGAAACGGGGCAGAUAAAUUAGCAGAAAAUGCACAGUGUCAGAAAAUUAUGAAAACUGGAGGAUAAGUCAGAAUUAUUUUUAUGAGGCUAGAUUUAAAGUUUCAUAUCAUUCUGACACCCGGAAGGUGGAAAAUAAAAUCGAACUGCUAUCUGCUAAAGAUUACAGUUCGGCACAGCUUUCGGUAACCAAACGAAGUCGAAACUGAGAACUUAAGAUAUAUUCUUACUCAGUAUGUAAAAUCGAACAUGACUGUCAAAUUUGAGCUCAAACGGAUGUUCAGGGAGCUCUGGCGAAAGAUAUCAGAUUUCGAAUUGCCUGGAGUGAAUAGUGGAUAGUUAAGGGGCUAAGUUGUAAAAGAGCAUUGCUCUUCUUCUCCCUCAACCGUGCAGCCACACACACAUGCGCCACACACACACACUCACACACGCAUGGAAAGGGAGAGAGAAAACUUCCCUUUCUCUCUCUAAAUCCCUCCCAAAGUUGGUGGCUUUGGUAGAGAUUGAAGCUUGGAGGUGAAUCGCCUUCGUCUUCUUCAUCUUUUCCAUGGUUUGGAGCUAAUUUUGAGUUGAGCUUCUUGAGCCCUCUCAUGGUAGAUCUCUAGGAUUAGCUUUAUAUGCUCUAGAGAUGGAUUUAGUAGCAUUCCUAGAUGCUGAUUAGAUGUUUUAUUGCUUGAAUCCAAGAUUAUAUUGUGUAUUCUUGCAAUAGUUGAAACCUAGGAUUCAAAAUGCAAUUUUUGUAAAUGGAUGGGUUUGAUCUAAAUUGAACCUAUAUAAACUUAAUCGCUAGGUAAACGAACACGUUUGCGAAGACAGUUCGGCGAUUCGUCGAGCCGUUACAAAGAUAUUGAAGAAACUGACGAUUUAGCUUCGUUUCCGCCUGGAGAGCCGAGGCGGCGUCCAUAAAUCACGGGGUUGGAUUCUGAGGGUCGUAGCAAGAAACCGAAGACCUAUAAUUACCGGAUCGUGGAUCGGAGAUCGUUCGGUGGUCGUGCGCGGAUUGGGUCAAGCCGAGCGGCGUGCGCCGCGGGAGGCCGAUUGCGAGUGACGACGAGCAAUCGGAAUGCGGUAAAAGGUGGGGGGUGUCAUCCCAAAGCAAUCGGGCUUCUCCCUAUGUCUAAGUAUCUCUAUGUUGAUCAAUUAUGCAUAUCGAGCUUUGCAUUAUAGGGUGCUAGAUGAUAAAUGUAUAUACAUAUAUAUAUAUAUUCUUGCAGGCUAGUAGAGUAGUGUAAAGUUGAAUUGCUUAAAUACUUGUACCUAGUAUGCAUGUGAUUGGGACAUAGUGUUGUGAAACCCUAUAAUGACAAGAUUAAUAUGGAUAGACUCUAGUUGAAUGAACACCUAGUCAUUGUAUACAAUUAGAGUAUUGAGAACGAGUGGCAUGUAAACAAUGAUCAUAACAAUAACGAGUGGCAUUGGAACCUAGUUAUGAUAUUGCAUGAGAAUCUAGUGUAGUUGACACUUAUAGCAUUGAACAUAGGGAAUAGGUGCAUUUCCCUAGUUUGUGGCAUAUUGCAUGAAAUGAUAUAUUGCAUGGGUGAAUUUCCCUAGUUGUGAUUCGGGUAGAAAACCUAAAGUUUUAUGUUGAUAACCCUAGAUAGUAGGGUAUUCCAUGUUUCCAGUUCAUGAGAUUGGAUCGAGCUCACAUAGCCUGUCUGCACCUGUGGUGGUCGCUCCACACAGGUAGUGCACUUCGGAGUUUGGCACGCGAGGGGGCCAGUGUAGUUGCCCUUGGACCAGUGUAGUGUCCGCAGGCGGUCUCGGGGUAGGUGAAUAGCUAGCCACCUCCCUAGGAGACUUACAGACGUGAGACUGUGCGCGAGCCUCGAGUUCGCCGAGAGAUUGGGUAACCUGAUGAGUUACGGUAUUAUUGUGUAUAAUAGCUUGGCACUUAGCCUUAGCCUUAUUGAUGAACCUAGUAGUAUGAUAAUUAGCCUCCACUAUGAGUUGCAUCGACAUUGAGUAUAGUUGCUUGGUAGUCAGAGUAGUGGAUUUGCCUACAUACAGUGAGUGGACAUACUAUUCUUUCACCUAUGAGAUUUGAGCGAGGUAGCCCUGUACCUAGUCGAGAUUGAGUCGGACCUUCAAGAUGUGAGUCGGGUGAGGAGUGGGGUAGCUCUGUCACGCCCCGGAACCGGCGGAGGCCCUCCCGGUAGCCUGCCCAGACCCGCCAUAUGUCCACACAUAUAAGGCGUCUAAAAUAAAAGCGGAAGUAAAAGCAAGAAUUACAACGACUAGGAAUGAAUAAUAUCUAAUGAUAUCAGAGCGAGUAAAGUUCUAUCAUCUAAACCAUAGUAAAAGGAACAUAACUUGACAAUGAAAGUAAAGUAUAAAGUGAUACAAUGCUAUCUCCUCAAAAGGAAUACAAAGAUCCAAAAGAAGGGUGGUCUCUAUACAUAUACGGGUACAGCUCUCAACCUCUCACAAAAUAAAAUAACGAGAGGUAGACCACCUAUCAAAUCGUCCUCGAAGGAAGCUAGCUCGAAGCAACUCCCUUCCCGCGGUCCCUAGCCUCUCCCGGCGUGGAAGGCUCUGAAAAACAUUAAGAAAAUGAGGGCGUGAGAACUAUAAUUUAUAGUUCCCAGUGGGCAAUUACUGACCUCAGCUCAAUGCACCACUAGACCCCAGAAGAAAUGGGUAAGCACGGUAAACAACAAUGAUGAUAAAGAUAACUGCGGUAUGAAAGUAUGCAUGUUUACUAAGCUUACAAUACCAUAAACAUUACAAUGUCAAUGUUUUACAUUUACUCUUUCAUAAUAAAGAAUGUUCAAUGCACAAGUAAUAUGUCUCAACAUGGCCACAGGUAAUUGUCACGGUCCACUUUAUGAAGUUAUAAAGAUCAUACUUUAUCAUGGCGACAAUGUAUAUAUGGAUAUAAUAAACAACAUCUCCUAGCAUACUACAUGUAUGUAUGAAUACUCUAAUGUCCAACACUAUGCUAGAAGCAAGUUCACGUGACCCAACUACUACUCUCUAUCCAGUAGUGAUUAUAAUACACACAACACUGUGUCGAUUUUCAUUUCCAAUUAAGGACCUACCCAAGGUAAUCUAGCUUGUGUUCUCUAAGUGUCUGUGGUAGCCCAACAUCCCUACUCUUGGAAUGUGUCUGUCCCACUCGACCCCGUAGGCAUCUCAAUACCGCACGAGCGAACAUAAGUCGCGUAGGCUAACUCCGGAGUACCGGCUUGUAAGGAGCGACCCUCACAAGCAUAUGCGAAUGAGCACAAAUGGCAAGCAAGCGUAGUCAAGGCUCAAGUAAUCCAACCCUCAUGUCUCAAACAUGGCAAUAGCUACUAAUACCCCAACGGUAUAGCUCUAUGUCACAAUGUGAUAGCUCAACACUCACUUGCUUAGUGCCUCUUCAUGACACUUAAGCACCACAACUAAUCAGGUCCAAAUCAUGUUCUAUGUUCCAAUUAAGACAUUAAUACCAUUGUUCACUCUAUCCCGGGCCCAAUGCCUCUUUAUGACAUUGGCCCAAUUUCUCAAAUAGUCUAAGUCCCCAAGCCUCUCUAGGCUUCCAAGUCCCUAAUGUCACAAUUAGGCAUAAGGUUAAAUACAAGAAAGCAAUGUUCAUUUUCAUCAUAGGAAUCAAGGUUUCAAGUUCCCACUAGAAUGCUAUGUCCCACAUGCAUGUAUCCUACCACAUAGGGGUCCAAACAUUCACUAUACAUAACAUAUGCAUGUUAAGCAUUCUAAAAUUCAUAAUAAAUAUAUCUAACAUGAUUAUGCAUGCUUUUUUAAUUAACGAUACUCAAAUCUUCACAAAUGAGAUUUUCUCAUUGUGGGGCUAGGUCAAACCCACCGAACCGUCGCGUAAUCCCUCAAUUCGCCAAACGGAGUUGUCCACGAGUCUCAAAAUACCCUAAAAGCAUUGAGCGAAGAGAUACACGGGCAUUACGAUCAACUAUAAGAUCAAACAUUAACAACCAAGGCAAAAGGGCUAAAACUCACCUAAUGAGUGGAGAAUCUCUCUCAAGCUCCAAAAGAAGGCUAGGAUCCUUCCAAGACAACCUAAUCCAAGCUUCUAAUCUCAUUAGAUUAGCUAAAAAAGCCUCCAAGCAAAAAGCCCCAAAUAAACCCUAGAUUUCCCAUUCUAGGGUUUCAUCCCCCAAAAUCUACCAAAGCUAGGUCUAGAGGGAAGAAACAAACAACCAACCUCAAGAGAACUCCAUUCCAAGCUCCAAGGGUGAAGAUAUUCUCUCUUGCAAGCUCCAAGUCCAAGCUCCAAGCACCAAGAAGGAAGAGAGGGUGAGGAAGAUGCUCCAAGUCCACUAGUUGCUCUCAAUCUUCUUCUUCUUCCUGCCUUCUUCUCCUCCUCCCUCUUCUUCUUCUCUAUCAAGGGCGUAGAGAGGGUUGAGGGAAGAGAAAUGAGGAGAAGAGAGAGUGGAUUGGCCAUAUAGACCAUCUAUUGCAACAAAAUCCAGCUAGGUUCCUCAAAAAUCCAAAAUUGCAUCAGCCCGGUCUGGGCAAUUUUCGCCCAGAGGGACCAGUCUCUCCCUGCGCGGGACCGGUCUCUCGCUGCGAACCCGAAAAAUCAACGUUCGGGAGCCGGUCUCUCCCUGCGCGAGACCGGUCUCUCACCGCGAAGACGCGCUCGGGGACCGGUCUCGCCCGCCAGAGACCGGUUGCCUCAGGGCUGCCACGACACUGCUCACUCGGGGACCGGUCUCUCCUCUCAGGGACCGGUCCCCGAGAGUGAAAACUCUCAGGACUUGUCCAGAACUCAGAUUUUCGAACUUUUUGGAUCGGAAAACAUUCUACGACCCUCCACUAAGUGUGGAAAAGCUCGAAACACAUCCAAUCACUCGAACCUCACAAUUUGCAAAGGUCCAGUGUGUUACAAGCUCUUUGCCUAGGACUUUCGAGAUUGGAUCGGACCUUCGAGAUAUGAGUCGGGCAAGGAGCGGGGUAACUCUUUGUCUAGGACCCUUGAGAUAUGAGUUAGGCGGAAAAAGAGCGGGGUAGCUCUUCACCUCCUAGAUUUGAGACCUUAGGCAAGUCGGCCUAGUUGAUUGGGUAGUAACAUGAAUUGCAUAAGUGGAUUGCAUUCAUACCAUGAUUUGACAUAGUAGAUCGCAUAACUAUGUUGUAGUUGUAUUCAUUACAUUGUUAAAGCAUGCUAGCAUGAUAGGAGGUUAUUGCUAGAUGAUGUUCCAUGCAUUCCUUGCAUUUGAUGGCAUAGUAGAUAUAGUAGCAGUUAUUUCUAUCUAUCUUUCUAUCUAUCUAUCUGUGCCAGCAUGGACCUAGUGGGAAGAUCGGCGGAGUCGGCGGCCGAACCGACUGGGAACUAUAUUUAUAUAGUUCUCACCCCGUGUGGUUUUGGGGUACAGGUACACACGAGAACGGACCGGCAGAUGAUCGUGGCAAGGGCUUAGCGCCGUAGUGCUAGUUGGUAGAUGCUUUCCUAUUGCAUUAGUUGUCACCCUAUGUACUUGAGAGUAAAUGAUGCAUAGGUGUGAGACUAUUUUGGAAAAUGUAAACUUAAGUUUAUGCUUUGGAUGAAUGUAAAGCUAAGUUGAAAUCAAAUGUAUUAAAGUUGAGUGGAUGUAAAAGCUUAGUAUCUCUCUUUUAUUCACUUGUUUAUUACUUGUGAUGCUUGCUCUUGAUUGUUUAGCACUGGUUGUGCUCUCGUCGCUGUUGUUGUAUGAUUGUGUAUGUAAUCAAGUUGUUUUCCUGGGAACUUGUUGUACACAAUCUCGUUUGAGCCUUGGGCGGACAGGGGAGGUGCUGUCCGUUCGGCGGUCCACCCGCCGUGCCCGAACCGUGCCAAAUGGGUAGCUUCCUCGGGGCGGGGGCGUGACAAAAAGUCACCGUUCAAUUCUUGCAAUCGAUAGUGGCGAAGUACUUGGUUAACCAAUCCAUACCCAAGACAACAUCAAACUCUCCGAGUUUUUGCAAAGCUAGCAAAUCCACGGGCAUUAUCCAAUCUUCUACCCGAACAGGGCAACUGGGGCAAAACUCCCUAAUAUCCAAGGAGUGGUCGGGGACAACAACACGUCCCGGAUGCAACAAGGAAACAAAGGGGAUGCCAUGCAACUCGGCAAACAGCCGAUCUAUGAAUGAAUGCGAUGCAUUGGUAUCAAAUAAUGCACGAACUCGAAUGCCAUUUAAUAAAAUGAUAUCUGCAAUCACAUUCUUGGCUGCUGCCGCCUCCUCGGUCUGAGCCGCAUACAUGCGCCCGCUCUGGGCCUGUCGUGACCCCUCCGCCUGCCUCGGAACUGGUGGCCGGCCGGCCUGGUAGUGAGCACAAGGCAUCCCCUGGCCGGGACCCGGUGAAGCUGGGGCUGAUGCCGAUGAUGGCGCUAGCGCUGGACCCCUCGGGCAGUCCGACUGGAAGUGGCCCUACUGGCCACACAAGUAACACCUACCCCGACUGCGUGGGCACUGCCGUGGUUGAUGAGAACCACUGCAGAUCAUAGAGCACGGAGCCUGUCGACGGUCCGAUCCUCCACACUGGGUAGAUGAGCCACGUCCUCGCGACUGGCUCCAACUCCUCGAGUGUCUCGGCGGCCUCCCAGAGUGCGUCUGGCUCGCACCCUCAACCACGGGCUUUUUGCCCUUACCCUUAUCAAGCCCUCAUGGCGCUCCUGCAAAUCCGCCGCGCUGCUCUCCACAAUGAGUACGCGGUUCACCACAUCUCGGUAGGUCUGGAGGUUGGAGGAUUGCACAAGCCGAAAGAUCGUCGGCCGAAGUCCUCGCUUGAAGAUGCGGGCGAUGUCCUCGUCGUCCCGCACGACAAAAGGUACACAAUGCAAAAGCCGAGAGAACUCCCUCUCGUACUUGGCCACAGUUCUCUCCCCCUCACGCAAGCUGCGCAAAUCCUGCUCCAUCUUUCUCUUGACACUGUCGGGGAAGUAGUGAGCCAGAAGAAACUCCUUGAACUUCCUCCAUGUGAUAGCUGCAAGGUCGGUGUUGGGGUUAUCCUGGAUAUCCAACCACCAACUGUAGUCCUCGCCGUCCAAGUGGUGUGUGGCGAGCCAAACUCUAUCCCUCUCCUGCACGAAGGUGUCGCGGAAUAGUUUCUCCAUGUGCAUCAACCACUUCUCUACAAUCUAGUGGUCGACCUUCUCUCCAUCGAAGAUCCUAGGAUUAUACCUCCUGAACUCGUUGAGGCGAUCCAUGAGUCGAUCCCGCUCGGCUCCCUCAACCAUCACAGGAAAACUGCCCCCGCCAAAGGCACCUGAGCUGGUGGUGCCACAAUAUCCUCCUCCCGAGGUGCCACCGCAGGGGCUGUCCGAGAAAUGCCGAGUGCAGGGGACGACACCCUAGGCGCAACCACCUCUACCGGCGCGGGUGGUAUAGGGACCUGAGCCUCCCUGGCUGCCGCCUGCUGCAGCAAAAGGUCCUCCAGGUGCUUCAUCUGAGCCUCCUACCGGCGUGCCGCAUCUGCCUGCUGCUGAGCUGCCGCCGCCUGCUGCGCGACCAAGUCAGUGAGGGCCACAAGCUGGCUCUUCAACUCACAGACCUCGCCGGAUUCGGAGGUAACGGAGGUCUCCACCUCCUCAAGAUUCGCCGCAUUGUCCGCUCCAACAGACUUAAAGCGUGUCGUCGGUAUUAUCACUAGCAACAUCAUAAAAGCGCAAAUUAGUAAAACCCACGCUAUUGCAACCCCGCUCAACAAAUAAGUACCCAAAUCAUGCGAAAAUAAGAAAGUGUUCUUUACUACUAACUCCCGAUGUUACGUUGUCGGCCGCCAACGUAACCCUCCGCGAAGUUAGAAGCUAUAUACUUCAAUUCAACUCCAACUUUUUAGACUUAUAAUAAAACCCAAUCAUAAUACUUUCACUUACAAAUCAAAUAGAUCUCGUCUCUCACGAGCCUAUUUCUUAUAGUCCAACCGGCCUAAUGUUUGCUAGGUCCACUAAGACUCAACCCUAGGCUCUGAUACCAAAUUAAUCUGUCACGCCCGGGACCGGCGGAGGCCCACCCGGUAGCAUGCCCACACCCGCCAUAUGCCUGCACAUAUAAGGCGUUUACAACAAUAGCAAUGAAUAAAGAAAAGAUAAUAAAUAUUUAAGGAUAUCAGAGCAUGUGUACAACUAACAUCUAUCAACAAGUAGAAGCAGUAAAACUAUCAACUGAGAUAAAACAUAGGGUGAAUACAUCAAACUGUUUCAAAAGCAAGUACUACAAUAUCCAAGAUGGUAGUCUCUAUGUAGAGUACAAACGCUCUCAUUCUCUCCAACUAAAAUAAAAAGGAGAAAAUAAUCCACCUAGCAAGACCCCUCGCUCGCUAGCUCGAAACGACACCCUUGCCGCGGUCCCUAGCCUCUCCUGGAGUGGAAGGCUUUGAAAGAAAAUAUAAAAUAGGGGGCGUGAGAACUAUAAUUUAUAGUUCCUAGUGGGCAAUUACUGACAUGAGCAAAAUGCACCACUAGACCCAAAAGCAUAAGUAGAUAAAAGAACUACUAGUAAGCUGCGAUAUAUAAAGCAUGUAAUGAAAUGCUGAUCUACAAUGCCACAAAUAUACAUGAUGUCAACUAGGUGUACAUCUACUCUAUCAUAGUCCGAUAUGCCAAUACAUGACUAGUAUGUUCCAACAUGGCAAACAAGUAUGCUAUAAUGCAAUAAGCAAUACUAUCAAGUACACUACAUGUCCAAGUGCCCAAUAAAUUCAACUACUAUGAACUGUCUAGUAGUGAUUAUUACUUAUAUGACUAGGUGUCGAUUUCUAUUUUCAAUUAAGGACCUACAUGUCCAAGUGCCCAAUAAAUUCAACUACUAUGAACUGUCUAGUAGUGAUUAUUACUUAUAUGACUAGGUGUCGAUUUCCAUUUUGAAUUAAGGACCUACACAAGGUAGUCCGGCUUGUGCCGCCUAAGUGCCCCUGGUAGCUCCAGCAUUCCCACUCGAGGAAUGAGUCUAUCC
rnacentral:lncRNA from 1 species